AUUGAACGCUGGCGGCAGGCCUAACACAUGCAAGUCGAGCGAGCGGCGGACGGGUGAGUAAUGUGUGGGGCACUGCCUGAUGGGGGGGGAUAACUACGGGAGACGGUGACUAAUACAGCAUACCCUCAGAGGUGCGAAGAUGGGAUUAGCUGGUAGGUGGGGUAACGGCUCACCUAGGCGACGAUCCCUAGCUGGUCUUGGAGGAUGACCAGCCACACUGGAACUGAGACACGGUCCAGACUCCUACGGGAGGCAGCAGUGGGGAAUAUUGCACAAUGGGCGCAAGCCUGAUGCAGCCAUGCCGCGUGUGUGAAGAAGGCCUUCGGGUUGUAAAGCACUUUCAGCGGGGAGGCGUUACCCGCAGAAGAAGCACCGGCUAACUCCGUGCCAGCAGCCGCGGUAAUAC
rnacentral:rRNA from 1 species